rnacentral:lncRNA from 12 species
AGCUCGCCUCGGGCCUCCCGCCCGCUCACCCCUUGGACCGGGGGCCGCUGGCCUAAGGUUCCCCGCCCGGCUUUUGCCCGGCCCGGCCCGGCCCAGCCCGCCGUCUCCUCAGGGCCGCACCCUCCGAGGCACGUUUCCGGCUCCGCAGCCACUCGGGGCGCCUGCCGCUCCGCCCCCCGCGCGUGCGCCCCUCCCGCCCGGGCCCGCGAGCCGCGCCUGCGUUCCGGCGCCCCUCCCCCCGCCGAGCCCCGUCCGCGCCUGCGCACGGCGGGCCCCGGGCCCCAGGGUGCGGGGCCGCGGAAGGCGCCGCCGGGAGCUCCGCGGCCCAGGCCGGCGGGGUUGCGUCGAACGCCGAGCUAUCGACCCGCAGUUGCUAGGCAACCAGGCUGCAGUGCCGGUUGCGAGGGAGUUCUGCGUCCCCUCCGUCCCCACACUCGGGGUUUCAGUCUCCUUAGCAUUCUCCGACUAGGGAAGCGGAUCCACGCAAGCCCCACAGAUUUGGGCCAAAAAUGAAAAGUGCAUGUUGCCUUCUCUGCUCUUCUCCAGAUGUGGACACCUUCGUUCAAGAAUUGUUCCUCCAGAGGAAUGGUUCAGUCAGCCAUCUAUUCUCCAAGCCUUGAGUUUGGUGCCUUUCUCUAAUUCACACCAACGUGCCAGACACGGACAAGGAAAAUGCUUUGCAAAACUUGUGGCAGGAGAAGGGAGCCUUAAAGAAGAGAGAAAAGACAAAAGCCUCAAGGAAAGAUGAAUGUAUUGGACUACAGCAAAAGUUCACAUUAUUGUCUGACAAAAGGCUGCAUAGACAAGGUUAACAUGGAAAGAGUGUUUGAGAAGAACGAAAAGCUAGGAAUACGUUGUACCUAAAUAUAUGUGGUUCUUUAAGUUUUCAAUUAGCAAUAAUUGUGCCUAAGAUGAACUUCAUUGGCUAGGAUACUGCCGCUGCGCAAAGCGUUUUGGGGUUCUUUAAAUCUUGCUGUAAAUUAUCUUUAAAAUAGAAUGGAAUGGUGCAGGUAAAGGAUUCAUGGAAGUUUUACAGUGACAAUUUGACCUUCAGUUAACUUUCUGUUUUCUGGUCCUCUGAAACCUGAUAAAGAUAGAAUGUCAACUAUGCCAUUAGGCAACCUUACUUACUUCUAUUAAAGCAAUUACUUGAUUGGUUGAUUGCAUCUGGCCCAGCACAACUAUAAAUGCCUGAUGAGGGAGCAUAGCUUUGGGCUUCUCUGAGGAUGAAGACGCUUUCCUUGGGUUUCAGUGGGGUCCCGGAAGCUAUGCCUGUGGGGUCGUUAGAGAACAACCUGGCUCAUGAGGGGUACGAGACUUCUAAGUCAGGACAGCUACCAUGUGGGGCUGAUGUGAGUCUUCUUUGCUCAUAUCUGAGCUGUUACACAGGGAGUUUGGGAGAAGCACCCAUGUGCAUUGCUGCGCAGAUUAUUGGAGGGACCCCAGGGAGGUGAGAUGCGUAGUUCAGCCCUGCUCCAAGCAUUGCUCUUGAUCUAAACCCUUCCAAGUGAUUCUGACACCAAAUGUGGCCCCCGGUAGUCCCAAUAUUUAGCUGAACCUAAGAAGACCCCUGGGAGAUAUUGUGCAUGAUAAUAGAGAUAGCUUAUACCUGGGCUAGUAGGAGAGGACUAACUGAAUAGAGUCAUAUGAUCUACUCGGUUUGAGAUUGAGUUAUCUAGGGAUGCCUGGGUGGCUCAGUAGUUGGGUGUCUGCCUUUGGCUCAGGGCAUGAUUCCAGAUUCCCAGGAUCGAGUCUCACAUCAGGUUCCUUGCAUGGAGUCUGCUUCUCCUCCCUCUGCCUGUGUCUCUGCCUCUCUUCCUGUGUCUCUCAUGAAUAAAUAAAAAAAUCUUAAAGAGAAAGAGAGAUUA